rnacentral:tRNA from 1 species
GGAGAGAUGGCCGAGCGGCUGAAGGCGCUCCCCUGCUAAGGGAGUAUGGGGUGUACCCAUCGUGGGUUCGAAUCCCACUCUCUCCG